UUUAUCUAGUUGUUGAUUAUACUUUUCUGUUUCUUUGGUAUAUCUAUGAUUUAAUUUAACUUUUAUAAAUAUUUUUUUUCAGUCUUGACUUGAAGGAAAUCUUAUUUUUCUCAAUGUUAAUUUAAAUGAAUAUUUUAUGCCGUAAAUAGUUAUUUAUGGUUUUUUCGUGCAACUUUGAGACAAAUUUAACGCAAUAUUUUUUCAGCAUAUAAAGCUUGAACAAACAAACGAAAUCAAUAUGAAAUAACCACGGAGAAGUUACGUUCGUUCAAAAAAAGUAAUUAGUUACGCAUAAAAGUUAAUAGUUGGAUAACAAAUAUAGCGCAUCAUGUCAAGUGGAUUUAAGGCAUGGGAAAAUUUUACAAAAGAAAAAAACACAGAAUCUGCCACUUGUAAUAUAUGUAAAACAACAAUAAUUUGCAAAGGAUUUUCAACUAGUGGUCUUCUUCGUUAUUUAAAAAAUCUUCACAAGGAAGUCGAGAUUGAAGUACCGAAAAAAAGGCCUAAGGAAGACACAAGUUUUGAAGUUAGAAAUCCUCAACCUAAAAUUACGUCGUUUAUAAAAAAGAAAUCUAUAGAAGAUAUUGUUUCAAAAUUGGCGACUGUAGAUAGGGCUGUACCGGAUUUCGGCUCCGGCUCCUGCUCCGGCCGAAAUCCGGCCAUUUUUACAAA